rnacentral:tRNA from 1 species
GUGAGUGUAGCCAAGUGGUUAAGGCAGUGGGUUGUGGUUCCGCCAUUCGCGGGUUCGAGUCCCGUCAUUCACC